AUAUAGUAGGGCGCAGCUAGAAAGAAAGCAUGAUAAUUUAUAAAUCUCCAUUUCGUUGUUGUAUAAGUAAUACUUGUAGUACCGUCCUGAAGUUUUUAAGUACCAUCUCAUUUUUUGCUACACCGCCCAUUAGGGCACAAUUUAAUUUUUUAUAUCAGGAAUAAUACUAUGUCUAACAUCGUAUCAGGUACAGUUAAGUGGUUCAACGAGUCUAAAGGUUUUGGUUUCAUCGAGCAAGAAAACGGUCCAGACGUUUUCGCACAUUUCUCAGCAAUCAAAAGCGAAGGUUUCAAAACUUUAGCUGAAGGCCAACGUGUAGAGUUCACUCUUUCACAAGGUCAAAAAGGUCCUCAAGCUGAUAACAUCACAGCUCUAUAAUUUUACUUUUUGAGUAAAAUGAAAAAAAGCGCUUAAGGCGCUUUUUUUGUG
rnacentral:sRNA from 1 species